rnacentral:rRNA from 1 species
UACGUAGGGGGCAAGCGUUGUCCGGAAUCAUUGGGCGUAAAGAGCGUGUAGGCGGCCCGAUAAGUCCGCUGUGAAAGUCCAGGGCUCAACCCUGGAAUGCCGGUGGAUACUGUCGGGCUCGAAUCCGGAAGAGGUGAGUGGAAGUUCCUGGUGUAGCGGUGAAAUGCGCAGAUAUCAGGAGGAACACCAAUGGCGAAGGCAGCUCACUGGGACGGUAUUGACGCUGGAGACGCGAAAGCGUGGGGAGCAAACAGG